rnacentral:lncRNA from 1 species
UGCAAGAGGGCCAUUCUUCACAAGAUUUGCAGCAAUUUGUUCUUCGUCAAGGGAAAUCACACUGUAAUUAGAUACAGAAGCUGCAAUUUUGCUUUUAUCAAAUUUGCAGGUGCCAUCUCUUCCAGUGUACGGAUAAUCCUUUUCUCUCUGUACUCCCCCAGACCCAAUUAGGUACUCAAAUGCGUUGUUCAUCAAACCGCCAUUACAGCCUGAGUCACACGAUCCGUAUUCUUCUGGAUCACACUGUGAGAUUCAUGGCCAUAUUAAAUCAUCGUUAAAUAUCAGGGUGGUUUGGUGGCUAAUUAUAGCACUUUACUGUCUUGUCAACUACAAGGUACACAUGAUCUAGACACAAAUGACAUAUUACACAAACAAAGGAUUCCAACAAACUUUAAGAUUGUAGAGUAUAAGGGGAUAGCAUAGUUACAUAGUUACAUAACAAGUUCUAAAAUCACCGUAAAAUUAACAAGAAAAAAAAUACAAAACAUAAUCUAGAAACGAAUAUCGAUGUUCGAAAGGUUAGAAUACAUAUCACAUUCAUCAAUGUUCCAUCAGAUAACACCAUUACAUAAAUAUAAUAGAAUUUUCAUUUGUAUUAAUAUAACAGUUGAAAGUAAAGUAAAAGAGCAAAACACAGUAUAAAUUAUCUGAAAUGUCCAAUCUGGAAUCAUGUCUAACAUGGAUAUGAAUAUUAUUUCGAAGUGUGUUAGCUUACGGUCCGGCACAUCAUGUCUUCAUCGUAUUAAUGUGCAUUCAGAUUAUCUUACUGUGAUAAAAAACAGUUUAAAACAAUCAUUUACUAUAAGUUAUGAUUUACCUUCCCAAUCGUACACUCUAUAAUAACAUAUCAUAAACACACUUAAAUCACAUACAACAAUGUUCGCAUUCAAUUUAAAUUAUACAAAAUCACGUUGAAAUAUCAGUUAACUCGACUUUAAAUGUUCACAAGUGUUUGAUGCAUUCAAGACCAAAAUUAAUUUUGACUUGAAACAAUCUCAGACAACUUUUUUUAAAUUAGAAGAAAUUUUCUUGCAAACACAAGACACCUCACUUUUCAAAAUUAAUCUGAACCCCAUCAAUCUUACAAACACUAUGCGAUCACACUGCAAAAACCAAAAGGUAAGGUCGAAAUCCAAAAGGGGCUAAACUUUAAAAAAAAAAAAAAGGCAUAAAGAGAGAGAAACGAACCACG